CCAGUUUUUCUUGGUUGAAGGAUGUUUCACACCUCAAAUGUUAUGUAUGAGUCAUGACACGGAGGAAGAUUCUAACUUUAAACCUUUUCCAAGACCCACUACUGCACUGCAUUUGUUGGUGUUAGGCUCCAACCUGUAAAAGUAUUUUGAGGACAUUUUUAGGAAACAUAUCUAUCAAGACUAUUAUGUAAAAGAAGAGGCUUUGCUAAUCCUCAUCGUUUUCUCUCCUUAUCUUUUGCAUUCUGUCAUUGUCACACGCAUUGAUGCUCUUUUUGGGAGGUGAACUUAGAGAGAAGUAGAUUGCCUUAAGCAGGGGAGAAGGUGCGGACCUUUGGUAAGAGAAGAGUCUGGAGAAGAUAAAAUAGAAGAAGCAGUCGUUAAGCUUCAAAUACCGGUGUGGUGCUGGCCGAAGGCUCUCCGAUGCUUAAGUCAGCUAGGAGUAGUAAAAUUGGUAGGGUAACAGUAAAAGUGAGAGAGAAGUUACCCUUUUUACUUGGGUAUUGUUCCCUAUUUAUAGAGAGGUGAAAGUGGGAGGUUUGCACAAAGUUUCGAUGUGGGACUUUGUGCAAGUCACUGUGGUGGUGACACGUGUGCUGGAGAUUAGGUUCGGCAGUCGGGAGCUUCAGCAGGUGCUUGGUACCUCAGAAAAAUGUCUUCCUUCGGCAGGGAAGAAGGCGUGUCUGCCUUUGGUGCUAGUCGCUUUGAGGCUGGAUAUGCUCGGUUGAUUAUUGUGUAAACAACAUAUAUUGGCUAGAAAAAAUAAUCUUCCAGUCACUUUGCAGAUUACUUAGUCCCAAUUAGUUACUUGACGUUGGAAACCUCCUGAGGGGGAUUUGCUAAAAUUAAUUGUUGAUGGCAUGUUGUGUGGCUGAUAGAAAGAUGGGGUAGUAGUCCGAAAUGCCAAUGAAGAAUUAAUGGAUGCCAUGGCUAAACUUGUAAUUGGCUGUCUUUACCUAAGGCUUUUGAAGCCUAGGUUGUCAUAUGACAUUAGAUGCAGGGUUCACAAGGUUGAUUAUUGAAAGUGAUUGUUUGGAGGUGAUUAAGGCCAUGAACCGAACUGAAUUUGACAUGAGCACUCGUUCAUGUAAUUUUGUGGCUCCCCAAUUAGCCAAAUUUGCUUAAUCUUGUAAUGAGACAUGUUAUUGGAUUGAAGGGGGCCUAGUUGGCUUCACUCUUACCUUCA